UAUCUUAUGCAUGAGGUACCAAGGUUCAUUAGGAUAACGGGCUCAGCAAUAAAGGGUCAGCUCGGAGGUACUCACCAAAUUGAUCAUGAAUUCAUGUCAGACCAAUAAUCCCCAUACCUCACAUGGAGACACCCGACUGAGACUGAACCAGAAUUCUCGUAUCAUACCCUUCUGUCCCUGCCUCUCAUCACUAUAAGCCACUCCCCAUGCACAUCAUAAGGUGUCCAAAACCAAGACGGAAGCCCUCCACGAGUGCUUGAAGCUCCUGGGCAACCUCCCCGCACUCACGGAUGAGGCACUAUCGAAGGUUCUUGCGCCAUCGGGCUUCUGCAUUUGCACUUUAAGAAUAUCGGCGGCUUGCAACAUAAUUGUCAUUUAGCCACCAGCCUCCACCCUCAUGAACCUAUUUUAGACUUGUGUACUAUGUCCGAACGUCUGCUUGAACGAUUGUCUCGCCGAUCAACUGUCUCGCCAUCUAUGUCGAAUCAUGUACCUGUGCUUUGUUGUGCGUUAUGCCAACAUUCUGAUCUCGACCCUAGUAGUUCAAAUACCAAAACCCCUACUUGUGAAGAAGUUUUUGUUACCAUGUUUGCCCACUUGUUUGAUUGCAACUUGCGACCUGGCUGUUUACGAUCUUGCCGGUGCCGGGGGUUGCGUUCAUGUGUUGUCCUGGUGACCUGGUCGAAUCCUUGCGUGGUUGUCUUGUCUCCCUAUGGUCCACGUGUGAUUGCCUGCGUUACCGCCGUCGGUGCCGUUUUACCGUAUUGACCGGUGCCAAUCGUAGAGCUAUCGCCAGUGCCGCUGAUCGUCGUGGAGACGCUAUCGCUUCUGAUCGGUGCCGCUUGGGCCGUAUAAUCUAGAGAUCUUGCCGCUAGGCGUUUCGUGUUCGUUUUUGUUUUCUCUUUCAACCUUCCGUGGGUUAUAAACUUAUAAAUAGGCCUUCAUUUCUGUGAUAUUGUGAUUGUUCUGUGGGCUUUGCUUCCUCGCUUUCGGUAUACAUUCAUUGUUUUCCCUGCUGCUGCUCGCCUGAAGGAGGAGGAGGAGCGUCGUGUCGCCUGCUGCUGCCGGGAUGUGACCGCGCCGUUUCGAAGAUGGACGUGCCGAGGGAGGACGCGGGGUGCGGGUGCGGGUGUGGGCGCAGCCAUCCGCGUCCAGGAGGAGGACGCCGCUUCGACGCGCGCCGGGGAGUCCAACGACAUUGCUGCUGGGUCGCGCUAGGUGCAAGUGCAACGGAGGGGUUCGUACGUCGACCAUGGGGUGCCUCCAUCGCGUACUGAUUAUGUGCAGCCGGGCCCUUUGCGCUGGAGGGCGCUGCCUCCACGUCCGUGUACGAGACCGAUGGCCAUGGACCCAGGUAUCAUGGAUCUCUUCCCUUCUCUUUUACGGGGCGACGACACGUACAGCCGUGGAGUCCAGCGACCCCAGUCUGUUCCGGAGGACAAGGGAUCUGCACGUCAUGGUGCAGAUUUCCAAAUUCUGUGAAGACAGAGAGUAUGCAUCCUUGUAAGUUUCCAACUGUGCUAUGUUGUCUCAGAUCGAUCUACCUGUCCUGUUUGACGCCAGCCUCCAGCUGUAGGGUAAAUGGUAAUUCCCUCUCAGAAAUCAGUUCUUUUUUCAGUUAAUAGCAGAAUUAAGGGGAAGGAAUCAGAGCCUUUGGAUUCGGGUGGGCGGCAGAUCAUGCCCGCUACAGCACGACAUAGUUCUGUAUUCUUAACUCAAAUAUGCAAUGUGGGUUCACUGAUUUGUGUUAGUAUUUGUUUCACUUAUAUAUCUGUAGAUAGGAAGCAGUCAUAAAGCGCGUAAGAUUUGGAUUGGACGCGUAAGAUUUGGAUUGUGCCAUUUAUGUACCAUAUUUUUGUUGUCCACUUGAGCAUAUCUUUUA